rnacentral:rRNA from 1 species
AUGAACGCUGGCGGCGUGCCUAAUACAUGCAAGUCGAGCGAACAGACGAGGAGCUUGCUCCUCUGACGUUAGCGGCGGACGGGUGAGUAACACGUGGAUAACCUACCUAUAAGACUGGGAUAACUUCGGGAAACCGGAGCUAAUACCGGAUAAUAUAUUGAACCGCAUGGUUCAAUAGUGAAAGACGGUUUUGCUGUCACUUAUAGAUGGAUCCGCGCCGCAUUAGCUAGUUGGUAAGUUAACGGCUUACCAAGGCGACGAUGCGUAGCCGACCUGAGAGGGUGAUCGGCCACACUGGAACUGAGACACGGUCCAGACUCCUACGGGAGGCAGCAGUAGGGAAUCUUCCGCAAUGGGCGAAAGCCUGACGGAGCAACGCCGCGUGAGUGAUGAAGGUCUUCGGAUCGUAAAACUCUGUUAUUAGGGAAGAACAAAUGUGUAAGUAACUAUGCACGUCUUGACGGUACCUAAUCAGAAAGCCACGGCUAACUACGUG